AUAUAUUUGCUGGCCGAAUUCCCAAAUUCUUGCCAGAAAAGUCUGCAAGCUCAUAUGAGGAGCUGCCAUGCUUCUUCAGGAUAUAACAUGGCAAAUACUGUCGGCCUAAUUUGGAAUUAUAACAAUCUAAUGCACUGGAUAAUUUUUUAUUACGGCGGUAUACUAACUGCCCUUCGUUGAAUGGUUUCGAAAAUGUUCGAUACCUCAAAUUAUAACGCUGUUUCGAAGCAUCAUACGAUUUUUCUAGGUUUUCCUCAGGACUAUCGCUCGAACAAGGGUUAACAAAGUCAAUACCUGACAUGGCCAUUUCUUGUCCAUGAAUUAUAAAAUACGGUGAGAACCCAGUUGAGGAAUGUUGUGUGAUAUUUAAGAUCCGUUCAACGUCGGAUAUUCUCACGUCCCAGCUGUUUUCCAUUUGCUGCCUUUAAUACAACUGUUGUUGGAACCUUCCCGUG